GGAAGUACUGCAGGCUGCCAACCGCUGUGCUGUGCUGUGUGUGUGCCGCUGCCUCUCUCACUCUCUCUCAUACAAAAAGGAAAGGAGCGGCAGAAUCUCAGCUGUGGUGUGCGGCAUGCCAAGGCCAUAGAGCAUGUGGGUAGAGAGCGUACUGCACGCUGGGCUGUGAUGAAAAUGGGCUUCAAGUGUGUGGCAAGUGGUAAACUGAGGAACUUGGAUGGCUAUAGGGGCCAUCUGCAGAGACAGAGUCCACAAUGGUGACUUUGUUUUCUGUUCCAGUUCACCUGUUAUGGAUGGCUGCAGUGCUGAAUAAACACACCUGCUGGGAG